rnacentral:lncRNA from 1 species
UUUUCAAAUACCUCCCCUCCCCUCUAUUAUUAUUCUGCAACUUGCUUGUUGAUUUCUUGUAAAAAAAAAAAAAAUGUAAUUUAAUUGAAAGUAAAAAAAAAAAGGAAGAGUAACAGGUGUCCUAUGAGAGAGCAGUUAGAGGAAUUAGGUGUGUGCCCCAAUUACUGUGCAGCAUCCACCUGGCAUUACACUUACACCUUCAUGGACAGACAACUAUAUGUAUUUUUGUAUAAAAUAAAAGUUGAAAAAUGAU